CCCUAGUGAUGCCUUCUCAGAGUCAGGGGACAUUUGACUCAGACCAGCCCUGUCCACCUCCAGAAGAACUGGACCUCAAGCUUGGGAGUAGAGAAGAAGGCAGUGAAGAAGGUGAAGAUAUUUGCUCCUAAUGUUGAGCAGAUGCACAUUAUUAAUCACUUGAAAGAGAGCCCAACAGAAGAGCAGAGAAAUAUGCCGGAGGAAAGUGCCAGGAGGGCCCAUGGGGAUGUACAAGACUUGGCAGACCUGAACUUCAGCAAGCUUGAUGCAGUCAGGAUACCUGGUGGUUUUGGGGUGACCCAGAGCUGCACUGUCAACAGUUCUGUAAAGGACAUUUCAACCCUUCUGCUGCGCUAAGAAGCCCAUGAGCUGGUGCUGCCUUUCCCUGUGCUGGCAGCUGAAACCUUCCUGCCUGUGAAGUCACAGUGGGUCAGGAUAAUAUUGUGGAUGGAGAAGAAAAGGAUGAAAAGUUUCCUGUCAGACGGUGCAAACAAUGUGAAUUAUGCUGAACACCUGCUUUCCUUCUUGGAGUUUGGAAUUAUCAUUGUUGCUGGGCAGAGGAUGCCUUCCUGACCAGCUGCUUAUAAAAACCUUGGGUGGUAAGUCUCUUCCCAGGGCAGGAACAUUGAACACAUUUUUUUUUUUACAUCUUCAUUGGAGUAUAAUUGCUUUACAAUGGUGUG